AGGGAAAGGUGAAAAGCACCCCGGAAGGGGAGUGAAACAGUUCCUGAAACCGUGUGCCUACAAGUAGUUAGAGCCCGUUAAUGGGUGAUAGCGUGCCUUUUGUAGAAUGAACCGGCGAGUUACGAUUUGUUGCAAGGUUAAGCGGAAAAAGCGGAGCCGUAGCGAAAGCGAGUCUGAAUAGGGCGCAUAAGUAACAGGUCGUAGACCCGAAACCAGGUGAUCUACCCAUGUCCAGGAUGAAGGUAAGGUAAUACUUACUGGAGGUCCGAACCCACGCACGUUGAAAAGUGCGGGGAUGAGGUGUGGGUAGCGGAGAAAUUCCAAUCGAACUUGGAGAUAGCUGGUUCUCUCCGAAAUAGCUUUAGGGCUAGCCUCGAGGUAAAGAGUCAUGGAGGUAGAGCACUGUUUGGACUAGGGGCCCUUCUCGGGUUACCGAAUUCAGAUAAACUCCGAAUGCCAUGUACUUAUACUCGGGAGUCAGACUGCGAGUGAUAAGAUCCGUAGUCGAAAGGGAAACAGCCCAGACCACCAGUUAAGGUCCCCAAAUAUAUGUUAAGUGGAAAAGGAUGUGGGGUUGCUUAGACAACCAGGAUGUUGGCUUAGAAGCAGCCACCAUUGAAAGAGUGCGUAAUAGCUCACUGGUCGAGUGACCCCGCGCCGAAAAUGUACCGGGGCUAAACAUAUUACCGAAACUGUGGAUGAACCUCUUUAGAGGUUCGUGGUAGGAGAGCGUUCUAAGGGCGGUGAAGUCAGACCGGAAGGACUGGUGGAGCGCUUAGAAGUGAGAAUGCCGGUAUGAGUAGCGAAAGAAGGGUGAGAAUCCCUUCCACCGAAUAUCUAAGGUUUCCUGAGGAAGGCUCGUCCGCUC
rnacentral:rRNA from 1 species